AAUUUCUCAAACUUGGAUGAUAAUUUUUGUCUGUCCUUAGUUUGGUUGUUGGGCUUUGCCGUGUCCUUCAUUGGGACGGCUGGCCUUAAAAGCAUUAGCUGAUCCUCGUGUGGAACUGGUUCUACUCAGCGUGAUAAUAGUCUGAUCGCUGAGGACAUCUUUCGGGAUGGCCAGUCCCCAGUUGGAUUGCUUCUAACCUUGGUUUUGCAGAUUGUUUGAUCUGUAUUCCAAUUUUCAG
rnacentral:misc_RNA from 1 species